rnacentral:tRNA from 1 species
UCCCUGGUGGCUCAGUGGUAAAGAAUCUGCCUGCCAAUGCAGGAGACACAGGUUCAGUCCCUGAUCGGGGAA